CUUCGAAAGAGAGCCUGCAUUGCCAGCUUGGCUCUAUCAUUAUUUAGUAUUUAUCAUUACGAAUCAUUCAAAUUACAAGAACCAUCCCUUUACUUUCUCUGCACAACAAUACAUGCAAUCCCCAUCAGAUAUAUGGAUGCUCUCUCUUGCAUCAUAAUCUAAUCUCUAUCUCUCCCACACACACACACACAUAUGAGAGUUAGAACGCAAUUGCUUCAUCAAUUCAGUUUCUAAUUUAGUAUAUUUCCGGCCCAAUACAUCACCCCGCACACACAUAUUUCCGAAUGCACUUCACAAUUUGAAGUUGAUUAUACACAUGCACACACGAGCAUAUUGGUGAGUUGACCGUAUGAUGUGGGUUGAAAGGAUAUCCAAACACCAAACACCUUAUCAUUUCACAUAAGAUGUGGGUUGAAAGUCAAUAGGUUUUUUUUUUUUUUUUGAUCGAACAGCAAAGAUAUUAAGACCAGAGAAAGGCACCAAAUAGAAAAUACAACAGGGUAUCGGAUGGGAUCACCUGAAUAGUAUAAGUGACUACGUAUACAACGGAUGCAGUCAAUAAUGUUUUGUUGACAUGAGAAGCACCCCUGAAAUUUAUUAUGUGGUCUGAACCUCGUUCUCUAUCUCGAUUUAUUGUGUGGUCUUAAAUAGAAGAUGCUUAUAUUUUCCUGAUUUGGGUGUUGGUGAGUAUUUUACGAUGUAUUGCAGGUAAAGAAGGUCAUAUAACUAACCCGAAGUCUGGCCCUAGGCACCCCCAACAGUUCAGCUACCAUUUCUAUACUAAGCAAACUUGAUGGUGUUCUGAAUCCCAUUCAGUGUUUUCAAAAACGUUUGUAAUGCGCAUUUCAGUACUCGAAUUGAUGCGAAAUGGCAUGACAAAAGUUUUGGGAAUAAAAAUUAAUAAAAUUCAGAAGUUAGGUCGUCGAAAGUCGAAACCCAUCUUUGCCAAUGCAAAUGUCGUCUUUCGCGAAGUUCCUGAUUCUUCUAAGUCUCACUCAGAUGUGAUUCAGUCAUGGAUGGUAUGCAGCUAUGUUGGGCUUAUCACGUGUUGGGCCUUACAUUUCCUUUAUAUCCAGUUAUCCACUGAAGUCUACUACCAGAGCUAGUUCUUACGAAGUCCAUUGUAGUCAUUCUUUAUAAAGCCCACUUUCGUCAAUCAGAAUGUAUAUGAUCAAUUUUUAUUUAAAUGUCUAAUAUUCAAAUAAAGUACACGUCACACCUUUCACAU